UUUCGUCUGUAGUAAAAGAGGAUGAGAACCUCCGAAGGAGGUUUGAGCCGAGCGAAGCGAGACAACGUUGCUUUAGCAACGACCCGCAGGGCAAGCAUCGCAGAUGCGCGUCAUCCUCUCUCGCCGACCA
rnacentral:sRNA from 1 species